AGUGUACUCCCUCCGAUCCAUAUUAAUUGUCGAAAUAUUACAUGUAUCUAGACGCUUUUUAAGCAUAGAUACAUCCAAAUUUGGGCAAAUUUGAGACAAUUAAUAUGGAUCGGAGGGAGUAUCUG
rnacentral:pre_miRNA from 1 species